CCUACGGGUGGCUGCAGUGAGGAAUAUUGGUCAAUGGGCGCGAGCCUGAACCAGCCAAGUAGCGUGAAGGAUGACUGCCCUACGGGUUGUAAACUUCUUUUAUAAAGGAAUAAAGUGAGGCACGUGUGCCUUUUUGUAUGUACUUUAUGAAUAAGGAUCGGCUAACUCCGUGCCAGCAGCCGCGGUAAUACGGAGGAUCCGAGCGUUAUCCGGAUUUAUUGGGUUUAAAGGGAGCGUAGAUGGGGUGUUAAGUCAGUUGUGAAAGUUUGCGGCUCAACCGUAAAAGUGCAAUUGAUACUGGCAGUGUUGAGGACGGGUGAGGUAGGCGGAAGGCGUGGUGUAGCGGUGAAAUGCUUAGA
rnacentral:rRNA from 1 species